UACGUAGGGUGCGAGCGUUGCCCGGAUUUAUUGGGCGUAAAGGGCGCGUAGGCGGCCACGCACGUCCGUUGUGAAAUCGCCCGGCUCAACUGGGCGGGGUCAGCGGAUACGGUGUGGCUCGAGCAAGCUAGGGGGCAAUGGAAUUCCCGGUGUAGUGGUGGAAUGCGUAGAUAUCGGGAGGAACACCAGUGGCUAAGGCGGUUGCCUGGAGCUUUGCUGACGCUGAGGCGCGAAAGCGUGGGGAGCGAUCCGG
rnacentral:rRNA from 1 species